rnacentral:rRNA from 1 species
UGUAAGCGUAUACCAAAGUUGUUGCAGUUAAAACGCUCGUAGUCGGAAUUUGGCAGUUCCGGAUGUGUGCACGUCGUGUGCGCACUUCGCGGGGAUUGCUUUUGUGGUCUUGCGUAGGAUGAGGCACUUUUAUUAGUGAACGUCCUCACGCAAUCACUUUUUACUGUGAGAAAAUCAGAGUGCUCAAAGCAGGCAUUUGCCGUGAAUGUAUUAGCAUGGAAUAAUAGAAUAGGACUUGGUUCUAUUUUGUUGGUUUGUUGGGACUGAGUAAUGAUUAAGAGGGACAGUUGGGGGCAUUUGUAUUUCGGUGCUAGAGGUGAAAUUCUUAGAUUACCGAAAGACAAACUGCUGCGAAAGCGUCUGCCAAGGAUGUUUUCAUUGA